GUUAGGGGCUCAGUGGCAGAGCGCUUGCCUUACACGUGUGAAGCACUGGGUUCGAUCCUCAGCAUCACA
rnacentral:tRNA from 1 species